UACGAAGGGGGCUAGCGUUGCUCGGAAUUACUGGGCGUAAAGCGCACGUAGGCGGCUCUUUAAGUCGGGGGUGAAAUCCUGGAGCUCAACUCCAGAACUGCCUUCGAUACUGAAGAGCUCGAGUCCGGGAGAGGUGAGUGGAACUGCGAGUGUAGAGGUGAAAUUCGUAGAUAUUCGCAAGAACACCAGCGGCGAAGGCGGCUCACUGGCCCGGUACUGACGCUGAGGUGCGAAAGCGUGGGGAGCAAACAGG
rnacentral:rRNA from 1 species